UACGUAGGGUGCGAGCGUUAAUCGGAAUUACUGGGCGUAAAGCGUGCGCAGGCGGUCAUGCAAGACAGAUGUGAAAUCCCCGGGCUCAACCUGGGAACUGCAUUUGUGGCUGCAUGACUAGAGUACGGUAGAGGGGGAUGGAAUUCCGCGUGUAGCAGUGAAAUGCGUAGAUAUGCGGAGGAACACCGAUGGCGAAGGCAAUCCCCUGGGCCUGUACUGACGCUCAUGCACGAAAGCGUGGGGAGCAAACAGG
rnacentral:rRNA from 1 species